rnacentral:rRNA from 1 species
AUGGACUUUGCUCCUCCGCCACCGUGGCAUUAUAAUUUAGACCCACCGUCGUAUGAAUUCCCGCCGAUACGUCCCUGGUAUCCGCCUCCGCCUCCGCCUCCGCCAUCUUCAGAUGAUGAAUGGAAAGUCGCAGUAUUGCUCGUCGUCUUUUUUGCAGUCUGCAUUCUCGGAGUCGCUUUAAAGGGUUGCCGCGGCACGCAAUCUCACGCAGAGGCAGAGGCAGCCGCUGCCGCGGCUGGAAUCCCUCCGGCAACACGAUGA